rnacentral:rRNA from 1 species
GACGAACGCUGGCGGCGUGCUUAACACAUGCAAGUCGAACGGUGAAGCGCCUUCCUUUUUGGUGGGUGUGGAUGAGUGGCGAACGGGUGAGUAACACGUGAGUAACCUGCCCCCUUCUUCUGGAUAACCGCAUGAAAGUGUGGCUAAUACGGGAUAUUCUGGGUCUGUCGCAUGAUGGGUCUGGGAAAGAUAUUGUUUCGGUGGGGGAUGGGCUCGCGGCCUAUCAGCUUGUUGGUGGGGUGAUGGCCUACCAAGGCGGUGACGGGUAGCCGGCCUGAGAGGGUGGACGGUCACACUGGGGAUGAGGCACGGCCCAGCCUCGUACGGGAGGCAGCAGUGGGGAAUAUUGCACGAUGGGCGCAAGACUGAUGCAGCGACGCCGCGUGAGGGAUGGAGGCCUUCGGGUUGUGAACCUCUUUCGCCAGUGAAGCAGGCCUGCCUCGUUUGUGGGUGGGUUGACGGUAGCUGGAUAAGAAGCGCCGGCUAACUACGUG